rnacentral:rRNA from 1 species
AUUGAACGCUAGCGGGAUGCCUUACACAUGCAAGUCGAACGGCAGCACGGACUUCGGUCUGGUGGCGAGUGGCGAACGGGUGAGUAAAGUAUCGGAACGUGCCUAGUAGCGGGGGAUAACUACUCGAAAGAGUAGCUAAUACCGCAUACGCCCUACGUGGGAAAGGGGGGGAUCGCAAGACCUCUCACUAGUAGACCGGCCGAUAUCGGAUUAGCUAGUUGGUGAGGUAAAGGCUCACCAAGGCGACGAUCCGUAGCUGGUUUGAGAGGACGACCAGCCACACUGGGACUGAGACACGGCCCAGACUCCUACGGGAGGCAGCAGUGGGGAAUUUUGGACAAUGGGGGCAACCCUGAUCCAGCCAUUCCGCGUGCGCGAUGAAGGCCUUCGGGUUGUAAAGCACUUUUGGCAGGAAAGAAAUCGCACGGGAUAACACCCCGUGUGGAUGACGGUACCUGCAGAAUAAGCACCGGCUAACUACGUGCCAGCAGCCGCAGUAAUAC